AUUGAACGCUGGCGGCAGGCCUAACACAUGCAAGUCGAACGAGUGGCGGACGGGUGAGUAAUGUCUGGGAAACUGCCCGAUGGAGGGGGAUAACUACUGGAAACGGUAGCUAAUACCGCAUACCAUCGGAUGUGCCCAGGUGGGAUUAGAUAGUAGGUGGGGUAACGGCUCACCUAGGCGACGACCCCUCGCUGGUCUGAGAGGAUGACCCGCCACACUGGAACCGAGACACGGUCCAGGCUCCUACGGGAGGCAUCAGUGGGGAAUAUUGCACAAUGGGCGCAAGCCUGAUGCAGCCAUGCCGGGGGUAUGAAGAAGGCCUUCGGGUUGGAAAGUACUUUCAGCGAGGAGGCGUUUCUCGCAGAAGAAGCACCGGCUAACUCCGUGCCAGCAGCCGCGGUAAUUC
rnacentral:rRNA from 1 species